ACGGCCACAUAACGUCGAAACACAAGUUUCCGUACGAUCACUGAAGUUAAGCAACAUCGAGCCUGGUCAGUACCUAUAUAGGUGACCGCUUGGGAAUACCAGCUGCUGUG